rnacentral:rRNA from 1 species
GUCUACAGCCAUACCAUCCUGAAUGUGCCUGAUCUCAUCUGACCUCGGAAGCUAAGCUGGGUAGGGCCUGGUUAGUACUUUGAUGGGAGAAGCCCAUCAGAUUAGAAA